AACGAACGCUGGCGGCAUGCCUAACACAUGCAAGUCGAACGAGACCUUCGGGUCUAGUGGCGCACGGGUGCGUAACGCGUGGGAACCUGCCCUUAGGUUCGGAAUAACUCCCCGAAAGGGGUGCUAAUACCGGAUAAUGUCUUCGGACCAAAGAUUUAUCGCCUUUGGAUGGGCCCGCGUUGGAUUAGCUAGUUGGUAGGGUAAAAGCCUACCAAGGCGACGAUCCAUAGCUGGUCUGAGAGGAUGAUCAGCCACACUGGGACUGAGACACGGCCCAGACUCCUACGGGAGGCAGCAGUGGGGAAUAUUAGACAAUGGGCGAAAGCCUGAUCCAGCAAUGCCGCGUGAGUGAGGAAGGCCUUAGGGUUGUAAAGCUCUUUUACCCGGGAUGAUAAUGACAGUACCGGGAGAAUAAGCUCCGGCUAACUCCGUG
rnacentral:rRNA from 1 species